CAGCCCUCAAGCGCGGCUUGGUGUUGGGCGUGGCCCGCGCGGCCGGCCCCAAAGACAGUGGCGGCGCCGCCUGGCCCUGAGCGCAGUACAGCUCUCGCUCCAGGGCCCGGCGGUGGCCUGCCAGACCCCGACCCAGU
rnacentral:misc_RNA from 1 species